rfam:Tupaia belangeri cont1.606764, whole genome shotgun sequence.
ACGGAUAAGCCGGGAAAACCGCGGUCAGCUUGGGAGGGAGGAAAACCUUCGAGGAAACGCUCGAGGACCUGGGCUCCCAGGCGUGCCGGCGCCCAGAUGGAGAGGGAGGCCUGGGGAGUGUUUGGAC